rnacentral:rRNA from 11 species
UACGUCGGCUUUUGAUCCUUGGAUAUCGGUUCUUCUUAUCAAUG